ACGGAUCUUUAAGCAACACCGAGUCUCCUUGGACCUCGCCUCGGCCAAUUCGCUGGCAGAUCCCCAAACCGAUCAAUUUUUCUCACCAAAAGGGUUUGGGCGUGUCAGGAUUGGAUCGAUGGCCACGGCGACGGCGGCGGCAGGGGAGGUGCUGCAGCACAUGGGACCGGUCCCUCGAGUGGAAGAGACCAAUAAUACGGCGGCGGCGGCGGAGGAACUCGGGGGAGACGACGAAGAGAUCCUGCGAUUCAUGGACUCGGCGGACGGCUACCUCCUCCUGAUGGAUUCGCUCUCCUCCGCUCUUCGCCAGGGUUGGCUUGAUCUGGCAAGUGCUCGCCACUCGAUGGGCGCAUCACGUGUUUCAAGUAUGCUGUUUGAUCAUAAAGAGCAAUCUGCAGCCACUAAGCUGCAAGUAGUUUAUCCUGCAGACUUGCAACCAUCAGAAUCAAACCCACAUUUUUCUCUAUCAAAGUGGUGCUUGCAAGAAGAAUCAAACUCCAGUGAUAUUGUCUGUGCGCAGGAUAGCGCUACAGCAAAACUAAGGUACAGAGGAUCAGCUGCUACCCCAGAUAGUAGUAAUGAAUCAGAUGCAACUACUGCAAAGUCUUCUACUGGUGUUGACGUUAACAGUCAGGUGGUCUGGUCCUGGAUUAGAUUGGAAUCUACCAAGCAUCCAGUUAUGAAAGCUAGGUCUGGGCGUGUACAUACUUGAGCAUACAUGAUGCUUUCAACAACUUAAGCGUUCAAAAGGCGAGAUCAAAAGCAUUAUCAGUCUUUGGAGCAUUGGUGUCUCCAAAACUGCGAACGGCCCAAGUUUCCUUUGAAACAGCACUUGAACUAAUUGUGGAGUUAGCUAAUGCAAGAUCAGUCAUCCUCUCUAGUUUCUCCCAGAUAAAGCAUGAAGCAUGAUUUCCUACCUGAGUUUGAGGUUCUGUAUCCUUGCGCGCCAUCUAUCCUAUUUGGGGUACCAGCAAUUAUACAAUCAGCAAUGGCUGUGGACACUAUAUGAACUGUUGAUGUACGUGUGGGAAUGUAUAUUUUUGUCCAUUUGUUUGUUGUACUUUGACUUUCCUUAUCAACCAUGGGAACAAAGACAGUAGUUUUUUUUGUAAGUUGAUAUUCAUUUACCAAGUUAAACUCUCUGAUUAUCACAACUGCAAAUUUAGGUUUGUAUGGUUGAAAUAGAAACAUAAAUACAUCCGAGUUGCCUAGCCUGUAACCAGGGGCCUGAUGACAUAAGACAUAUGUUGUUC